AACGCACGAGACCUGCGGACCUGCGGAAGGAUCAUUACCGAGUUUACAACUCCCAAACCCAAUGUGAACGUUACCAAACUGUUGCCUCGGCGGGAUCUCUGCCCCGGGUGCGUCGCAGCCCCGGACCAAGGCGCCCGCCGGAGGACCAACCAAAACUCUUUUGUAUACCCCCUCGCGGGUUUUUAUAUCUGAGCCAUCUCGGCGCCUCUCGUAGGCGUUUCGAAAAUGAAUCAAAACUUU
rnacentral:misc_RNA from 1 species